rnacentral:rRNA from 1 species
UUAAGAGUGUAUGGUGGAUGCCUUGGGACUAAUAGGCGACGAAGGACAUGAUAUCCUGUGAUAAGCUUUGGGGAGCUGGAAAAUAGGCUUUGAUCCAGAGAUUUCCGAAUGGGGCAACCUAUUGCUAGUAAUGUAGCAAUAUUUAAGUUUCAUAAUGCUUAAAAGUAAACCUGGAGAACUGAAACAUCUUAGUACCCAGAGGAAAAGAAAACAAAUAGUGAUUCCCUAAGUAGCGGCGAGCGAACGGGGAACAGCCCAAACCAGUUGGUAGUUUUAGCAACUGGGGUUGUAGGAUAAUAAUUAAGCAAUCAGAAGUUACAAAAAUUAUUGAUAGAAGAAUUAGUUGGAAAACUAAGCCAAAGAAAGUGAAAGCCUAGUAUUCGAAAUUAAUAAUUCUUUUGAUUGUGGUUUGUUAUAAUCCUGAGUACCACGAGACACGUGAAAUCUUGUGGGAAGCAACGGGGGCCACCCCGUAAGGCUAAAUACUCAUUAGUCACCGAUAGUGAACUAGUACCGUGAGGGAAAGGUGAAAAGAACCCCGGAAGGGGAGUGAAAUAGAACCUGAAACCAUAACACUUACAAGAAGUUAAAGGGCGUUAAAGCCUAAUAGCGUGCUUUUUGCAGAACGAGCCGGCGAGUUAUAGUUAUUGGCAAGGUUAAGUUUUUUAGAAACGGAGCCACAGCGAAAGCGAGUUUUAAUAGAGCGUUAAGUCAAUAGUUAUAGACCCGAAACUAGGUGAGCUAACCAUGAGCAGGCUGAAGUUAGAAUAAAAUCUGACGGAGGGCCGAACCAGUGAUCGUUGAAACGCUCUUGGAUGACUUGUGGUUAGGAGUGAAAAGCUUAUCGAACCUAGAGAUAGCUGGUUCUCCCCGAAAUAGCUGUAGGGCUAGCGCAAGAGUUGAGAAUAGUGGGGGUAGAGCACUGAAUAUGAAAGGGUCCUUAAUCGGAUACCAUUUGUAAUCAAACUCCGAAUACCAUUAUUUAAUAUCUUGUAGUCAGUCUAUGGGGGAUAAGCUCCAUAGACGUGAGGGAAACAGCCCAGAUUAUCGGCUAAGGUCCCUAAAUAGUAUUAAGUGUAGAAGGAAGUUACAGUACAAAGACAGCCAAGAGGUUGGCUUAAAAGCAGCCAUCCUUUAGAGAGUGCGUCACAGCUCAUUGGUCGAGUACGGUAGCGCCGAGAAUGUAAGGGGGCUCAAAUACUAUACCGAAGCCAUAGGCUAGUUGGUAAUAAAAGAAUUAUUAUUAAAACACUAUCAAAAAAGUACAAAGAGAUUAGUCAUCUUUAUAAACUUGAAUUAUUAAGGUCCGGAAUCUAAACGGACGAACAGCGUGUGAAGUAAAACGAUAUAAAAGAUAUAGAGCAAUGCUAAAAAUAGACAAUCUUGAUUUUCUUUUAUUUUUAUUUAUUUUUUAGUUGUUUUAGUCUGUCCUUUUAAGGGUGUUUAAAAAUAUUUUUUUGUUGCCAACUAGCGGUAGGGGAGCGUAGUAAAAUCAUUGAAGUUAGACCGUGAGGACUAAUGGAGUUUUUACUAGUGAGAAUGCCGGCGUGAGUAACGAUAGAAGGUGAGAAUCCUUCUAGCCGUAUGACCAAGGUUUCCAGGGUGAAGGUCGUCUACCCUGGGUUAGUCGGGACCUAAGGCGAGGCCGAAAGGCGUAGUCGAUGGACAACAGGUUAAUAUUCCUGUACUCACCAUAAUUACUGAUGGAGCGACGAAGUCAGCUAAGAUAAACCAGUUAUUGAUUCUGGUCCAAGUAUAAAGAGGGUCUGGUAGGAAAAUCCGCCAGGCAUAACCUUGAAAUAUGAUGGGUAGGCAACGAAUUAUCUGAAUGCUUUACUUCCAAGAAAAACUUCUAAAGAUAUGAUUAUGGUACCCGUACCGAGAACGAACACACGUGGUCAGGGAGAAUAUCCUAAGGCUAGCGAGCAAACUAUAGUUAAGGAACUCGGCAAAUUAGCCCCGUAAGUUCGCGAGAAGGGGUGCCUAGGGCAACCUAGGUCACAGUAAAGAGGCACGAACGACUGUUUACCAAAAACACAGCUCUCUGCUAACUCGUAAGAGGAUGUAUAGGGGGUGACGCCUGCCCAGUGCUCCAAGGUUAAGAGGAAAGGUUAAUUAACAAGCAAUUGUUAAUGAAGCUUUGAAUUGAAGCCCGAGUGAACGGCGGCCGUAACUGUAACGGUCCAAAGGUAGCGAAAUUCCUUGUCAGGUAAGUUCUGACCCGCAUGAAAGGCGUAACGAUUCGUGCACUGUCUCAACUAUAGACUCGGUGAAAUCUUAGUACCGGUGAAGAUGCCGGUUACCCGCAACUAGACGGAUAGACCCCGUGGAGCUUUACUGCAGCCUGAUAUUGGGUUUUUUUCUUCUUUGUACUGGAUAGCCAUAGGUGGGAGACUGUGAGGCUAGGACGCCAGUUCUAGCGGAGUCGUCGGAGGAAUACCACUCUUAGGAGCAAAAAAUUCUAACUUGUCGGUUUACAGCCGAAAGGACAGUGUUUGGUGGGUAGUUUAACUGGGGCGGUUGCCUCCUAAAAAGUAACGGAGGCGUUCAUAAGGUAUCCUCAAUAGGUAUAGAAAUCCUAUGUAGAGCGUAAAGGUAUAAGGAUGCUUAACUGCGAGACUUACAAGUCGAGCAGAUACGAAAGUAGGACUUAGUGAUCUGGCGGUUCUUAGUGGUAAGGCCGUCACCAAACGGACAAAAGUUACCCCGGGGAUAACAGGCUAAUACUUCCCAAGAGAUCACAUCGACGGAAGUGUUUGGCACCUCGAUGUCGGCUCAUCGCAUCCUGGUGGUGAAGAAGCUACCAAGGGUUGGGCUGUUCGCCCAUUAAAGCGGUACGUGAGCUGGGUUUAGAACGUCGUGAGACAGUUUGGUCCCUAUCUGUUGUGGGCGUAGGAAAUUUGCGAAGAUCUGCUCUCAGUACGCCAGGACCAGAGUGGACUAACCAAUGAUGCACCAGUUGUCAUGUCAAUGGCACGGCUGGAUAGUUACGUUAGGAAUGGAUAAGCACUGAAAGCAUCUAAGUGCGAAGCCAACUUCAAGAUAAGAUUUCCCAUCCGUUAGGAGUAAGAUACCUUCUAGACUAGGAGGUUGAUAGGCAAUAAAUGUAAGUGUAGUAAUACAUUGAGUUUAAUUGUACUAAUUUAUCGAGGACUUAUUU